CAAGUCGAACGGCAGCACGGAGAGCUUGCUCUCUGGUGGCGAGUGGCGAACGGGUGAGUAAUAUAUCGGAACGUAUCCAAUAAUGGGGGAUAACGAGUCGAAAGAUUCGCUAAUACCGCAUACGCCCUACGGGGGAAAGCAGGGGAUCGUAAGACCUUGCGUUAAUGGAGCGGCCGAUAUCUGAUUAGCUAGUAGGUGAGGUAAAGGCUCACCUAGGCUUCGAUCAGUAGCUGGUCUGAGAGGACGACCAGCCACACUGGAACUGAGACACGGUCCAGACUCCUACGGGAGGCAGCAGUGGGGAAUUUUGGACAAUGGGCGCAAGCCUGAUCCAGCCAUUCCGCGUGAGUGAAGAAGGCCUUCGGGUUGUAAAGCUCUUUCGCAAGGGAAGAAACGAUACCGACGAAUAAUCGGUGUUAAUGACGGUACCUUGAUAAGAAGCACCGGCUAACUACGUGCCAGCAGCCGCGGUAAUACGUAGGGUGCGAGCGUUAAUCGGAAUUACUGGGCGUAAAGCGUGCGCAGGCGGUUUUGUAAGUCAGAUGUGAAAUCCCCGGGCUCAACCUGGGAACUGCGUUUGAAACUACAAGGCUAGAGUAUGGUAGAGGGGGGUAGAAUUCCACGUGUAGCAGUGAAAUGCGUAGAGAUGUGGAGGAAUACCAAUGGCGAAGGCAGCCCCCUGGACUAAUACUGACGCUCAUGCACGAAAGCGUGGGGAGCAAACAGGAUUAGAUACCCUGGUAGUCCACGCCCUAAACGAUGUCUACUAGUUGUUGGGAGAGUAAAAUCUCUUAGUAACGCAGCUAACGCGUGAAGUAGACCGCCUGGGGAGUACGGUCGCAAGAUUAAAACUCAAAGGAAUUGACGG
rnacentral:rRNA from 1 species